AUGGGCGGCCUACACAUGCAAGUCGGACGAGAAGGUUCCUUCGGGAACUGGAGAGUGGCGCACGGGUGAGUAACGCGUGGGGACCUACCUCUUAGUGGGGGAUAACGGUUGGAAACGACCGCUAAUACCGCAUACGCCCUUCGGGGGAAAGAUUUAUCGCUAAGAGAUGGACCCGCGUUGGAUUAGAUAGUUGGUGAGGUAAUGGCUCACCAAGUCAGCGAUCCAUAGCUGGUUUGAGAGGAUGAUCAGCCACACUGGGACUGAGACACGGCCCAGACUCCUACGGGAGGCAGCAGUGGGGAAUAUUGGACAAUGGGGGCAACCCUGAUCCAGCCAUGCCGCGUGAGUGAAGAAGGCCUUCGGGUUGUAAAGCUCUUUCAGAUGCGAAGAUGAUGACGGUAACAUCAGAAGAAGCCCCGGCUAAUUUCGUGCCAGCAGCCGCGGUAAUACGAAAGGGGCUAGCGUUGUUCGGAUUUACUGGGCGUAAAGGGCACGCAGGCGGUCUUGCCAGUCAGGGGUGAAAGCCCGGGGCUCAACCCCGGAACUGCCUCUGAUACUGCAAGACUAGAGACUAGGAGAGGGUGGUGGAAUUCCCAGUGUAGAGGUGAAA
rnacentral:rRNA from 1 species